GACGAACGCUGGCGGCGUGCUUAACACAUGCAAGUCGAACGGAAAGGCCCUGCUUUUGUGGGGUGCUCGAGUGGCGAACGGGUGCGUAACACGUGAGUAACCUGCCCUUGACUUUGGGAUAACUUCAGGAAACUGGGGCUAAUCCCGGAUAGGAGCUCCUGCUGCAUGGUGGGGGUUGGAAAGUUUCGGCGGUUGGGGAUGGACUGGCGGCUUAUCAGCUUGUUGGUGGGGUGGUGGCUUCCCAAGGCAUGGACGGGUAGCCGGCCUGGGAGGGUGACCGGCCACAUUGGUACUGAGAUACGGCGCAGACUCCUACGGUAGGCAGCAGUGGGGAAUAUUGCACAAUGGGCGGAAGCCGGAUGCAGCAACGCCGCGGGCGGGAUGACGGCCUUCGGGGUGUAAACCGCUUUCGCCUGUGACGAAGCGGGAGUGACGGUAAUGGGUAAAGAAGCACCGGCUAACUACGUG
rnacentral:rRNA from 1 species